rnacentral:rRNA from 1 species
GAUGAACGCUGGCGGCGUGCCUAAUACAUGCAAGUCGAGCGAACAGACGAGGAGCUUGCUCCUCUGACGUUAGCGGCGGACGGGUGAGUAACACGUGGAUAACCUACCUAUAAGACUGGGAUAACUUCGGGAAACCGGAGCUAAUACCGGAUAAUAUAUUGAACCGCAUGGUUCAAUAGUGAAAGACGGUUUUGCAGUCACUUAUAGAUGGAUCCGCGCCGCAUUAGCUAGUUGGUAAGGUAACGGCUUACCAAGGCAACGAUGCGUAGCCGACCUGAGAGGGUGAUCGGCCACACUGGAACUGAGACACGGUCCAGACUCCUACGGGAGGCAGCAGUAGGGAAUCUUCCGCAAAGGGCGAAAGCCUGACGGAGCAACGCCGCGUGAGUGAUGAAGGUCUUCGGAUCGUAAAACUCUGUUAUUAGGGAAGAACAAAUGUGUAAGUAACUAUGCACGUCUUGACGGUACCUAAUCAGAAAGCCACGGCUAACUACGUG